UUUGGUUAAGCUAUAAAGAGCGCAGGGUGGAUGCCUUGGCACUAAGAGCCGAUGAAAGACGUGAUAAGCUGCGAAAAGCUUCGGGGAGGAGCAAAUAUCCUUUGAUCCGGAGAUAUCUGAAUGGGGAAACCCGGCUGAGCAAACCUCAGUCACUGCAUGGUGAAUCCAUAGCCAUGCAGGGGGAACCCGGUGAACUGAAACAUCUAAGUAGCCGGAGGAAGAGAAAGAAACAUCGAUUCCCAAAGUAGCGGCGAGCGAAAUGGGAAGAGCCCAAACCAGCGUGCGUGCAUGCUGGGGUUAAGGACUGCAAACGUGAACCGAUUUGUUAGUGGAACUGUCUGGGAAGUCAGGCCAUAGAGGGUGAAAGCCCCGUACACGAAAACAAUAGGAAGCAGCAGGAUCCAGAGUACCACGAGACACGAGAAACCUUGUGGGAAGUCGGAGGGACCACCCUCCAAGGCUAAAUACUCCUUAGUGACCGAUAGCGCAUAGUACUGUGAAGGAAAGGUGAAAAGGACCCCGGGAGGGGAGUGAAAAAGAACCUGAAACCCUGUGUUUACAAGCUGUGGAAGCACGUUAAGGUGCGACCGCGUACUUUUUGUAGAACGGUCCGGCGAGUUGCCGGUACUGGCAAGGUUAAGAGCUGAAGGCUCGGAGCCGAAGGGAAACCAAGUCUCAAAUGGGCGUCAAGUCAGUACAGGCAGACCCGAAACCGGGUGACCUAUCCAUGUCCAGGUUGAAGCGGAAGUAAAAUUCCGUGGAGGACCGGAUCCACAUCCGUUGAAAAGGGUGGGAAUGAGGUGUGGAUAGGGGAGAAAUUCCAAUCGAACCCGGAGAUAGCUGGUUCUCCUCGAAAUAGCUUUAGGGCUAGCCUCAUAUUAGUUUAGCGGAGGUAGAGCACUGAAUUCCUAAGGGGGCGUCAAAGCUUACCAAGGGAUAUCAAACUCCGAAUGCCGCAUAAAUGAUGUAUGGGAGUCAGACUGCACGAGAUAAGUUGGGUAGUCAAAAGGGAAAGAGCCCAGACCUACAGCUAAGGUCCCAAAGUGUGUGUUAAGUGGAAAAGGAUGUGGGAUUUCAAAGACAACUAGGAUGUUGGCUCAGAAGCAGCCACACAUUCAAAGAGUGCGUAAUAGCUCACUAGUCGAGAGGUCCUGCGCCGAAAAUGUCCGGGGCUGAAACACAACACCGAAGCUUAGGAAUGUAUGUAAGUACAUUGGUAGAGGAGCAUUCU
rnacentral:rRNA from 1 species